rnacentral:rRNA from 1 species
ACGCUGGCGGCACGCCUAACACAUGCAAGUCGAACGAAGUAGCAAUACUUAGUGGCAGACGGGUGAGUAACAUGUGGGUAUCUGCCCUUUGGCCUGGAAUAACACGAGGAAACUUGUGCUAAUACCGGAUAAGUCUUUACAGAGAAAGCUUUAUGCACCAUUGGAUGAGCCCGCACUUGAUUAGUUUGUUGGUGGGGUAAUGGCCUACCAAGACUAUGAUCAAUAGCUGAUUUGAGAGGAUGAUCAGCCACAUUGGGACUGAGACACGGCCCAAACUCCUACGGGAGGCAGCAGUGGGGAAUCUUGCACAAUGGAGGAAACUCUGAUGCAGCGAUGCCGCGUGAGUGAAGAAGGCCCUUGGGUUGUAAAGCUCUUUCGUCGGGGAAGAAAAUGACUGUACCCGAAUAAGAAGGUCCGGCUAACUUCGUGCCAGCAGCCGCGGUAAUACGAAGGGACCUAGCGUAGUUCGGAAUUACUGGGCUUAAAGAGUUCGUAGGUGGUUGAAAAAGUUGGUGGUGAAAUCCCAGAGCUUAACUCUGGAACUGCCAUCAAAACUUUUCAGCUAGAGUAUGAUAGAGGAAAGCAGAAUUUCUAGUGUAGAGGUGAAAUUCGUAGAUAUUAGAAAGAAUACCAAUUGCGAAGGCAGCUUUCUGGAUCAUUACUGACACUGAGGAACGAAAGCAUGGGUAGCGAAGAGGAUUAGAUACCCUCGUAGUCCAUGCCGUAAACGAUGUGUGUUAGACGUUGGAAAUUUAUUUUCAGUGUCGCAGCGAAAGCGAUAAACACACCGCCUGGGGAGUACGACCGCAAGGUUAAAACUCAAAUGAAUUGACGGGGACCCGCACAAGUAGUGGAGCAUGUGGUUUAAUUCGAAGAUACGCGCAGAACCUUACCGACACUUGACAUGUUCGUCGCGACUUUAAGAGAUUAAAGUUUUCGGUUCGGCCGGACGAAACACAGGUGCUGCAUGGCUGUCGUCAGCUCGUGUCGUGAGAUGUUGGGUUAAGUCCCGCAACGAGCGCAACCCUCACUUUUAGUUGCCAUCAUUUAGUUGGGCACUCUGAAAGAACUGCCAGUGAUAAGCUGGAGGAAGGUGGGGAUGACGUCAAGUCCUCAUGGCCCUUACGUGUUGGGCUACACACGUGCUACAAUGGUAUCUACAACAGGAAGCAAGACGGCGACGUCAAGCAAAUCCUUAAAAGAUACCUCAGUUCGGAUUGCACUCUGCAACUCGAGUGCAUGAAGCUGGAAUUACUAGUAAUCGUGGAUCAGCGUGCCACGGUGAAUGCGUUCCCGGGUCUUGUACACACCGCCCGUCACACCAUGGGAGUUGGUUCUACCUUAAGGCAAGGUUUAAAACCCUUGACCACGGUAUAGUCAGCGACUGGGGUGAAGUCGUAACAAGGUAGCCGUAGGGGAACCUGCGGCUGGAUUACCUCCUUUCU